rnacentral:rRNA from 1 species
GCAGCCGCGGUAAUACGGAGGAUGCAAGCGUUAUCCGGAUUUAUUGGGUUUAAAGGGUGCGUAGGCGGUCUGAUAAGUCAGCGGUGAAAUUUAUUGGCUUAACCAAUACCCUGCCGUUGAUACUGUUGGGCUAGAAUGGGGAUGCUGUUGGCGGAAUGUGUGGUGUAGCGGUGAAAUGCAUAGAUAUCACACAGAACACCGAUUGCGAAGGCAGCUGACAAAUCCUCGAUUGACGCUGAGGCACGAAAGUGUGGGGAUCAAACAGGAUUAGAUACCCC